rnacentral:lncRNA from 1 species
AUUGGCUGUGUGGACUGCUUUGCACAUUUACUUUAUUAGAUAUCUGUACAUAGUGAAGGAGCAGAGAGGAUUUACUCAAGACUUCAAAGUUCCUGCUAACAGACUUCAGAGCAGGCCCUGGGCCUCCUGUUUCAGAAUCUGGUGUCCUUAUUAACCCUGACUGUUAAUAAAACAGGAGAAAAUGCGGCCUCUCUCUAGUGUGGGGUUUAGGCAGGCUAACAGGGAGAGCAUGUCCCCAAAGAUUAUUUAUAUUUCCAGGACUAGUACGGUAAGGCUGGAUACUGGCUAGUGUAAUAGAGCUUGGUCAAAGACAAAACUUGGACUCAUAGGACUUUGGCUUUAAAGAGACAUCUUCAGGUGACCCCUGAGGUCAAAGCUUACUGGUAGAAUAUAGCACCCUCCAGUCCUCUAGUAAGAGGCCAUCCAUCCAUUUGCUAUUUGUUUUUAGUCCUGUGCAAUGCCUGGGCACCCUCCAUCUCUUAGACAUUAUGCCGUACUGUGUGGUAUCUCUAAUGGCAAGACCACAUCAGGGUAAGGUUGUAUUGAAAUCUUCCUCCCUGUAAUUUCUACCCACGGAGCCUAAUUCUGCCUCUGGAGUUAUACAGUGAGAUUCAUCCUUCUUUUUUCUGACAGUUAUUUGUGACAUGGAGCCGCCUCUCAAGUUCCCUGCUGAGAAGUGAAAUGCAACAUCCAUUUGAGUUUAUGUAACAUCCAAAGACUGACAACUCAGAAUUUCCUAAUUAAAGUCAUUUUUAAGGCACUCUGCAGAGCCAGCUUUCAUAUCUUCCUUUGUGGCAUUAUUCUUCAAACUGUAGCAGAAUACCUGGCUUCUCUGUCUUCAGUGACACACAUACAUGCUCAUGCUCUUAGCCUCCACUUCUGUCCUUGGACAAUACCAAAAACAAGACAAUUUUAAGAGAGGAAAAUACAUUUGAGGGAAGCAAGGAGAGAGCAGAGAGGACAUGUACACAUAAAUUAACUGAUAGGCCAGUAGCUGAAAAGAGAAGGAGCAGGAAGGAAAUGGAACAGGGUGGGGUAGACCAGAUGGCUGGUGGCCGGUGAAAAAAAUAGGCUACAUUUCUCAAUGAGGUUUAAAUUAAUUUAGCUGGUUCCUUUUUAAAUUGUUUUAUUUUUAUUUUUAAAGAUGGGGCCAAUGCAAGGGAGGUAUUCCAAAAUUAUGGGAUGUGGAUAUAGGUAAGUGUGCUUGCUUAUGCUCAUGUACUUAUGAGCUGACUUUGAAAAUAGGUAUGGGGGAGAAGAGGCUCUAAAAUGCCCUCCUGAGGAAAAAAAAAUAAUCUCUCUUACUGGCCCACUUCUGCACCUGAAAUUCCAGCAUUCAAGCUAUUCCUUCAAAUUAAGGCAUUGUCUAUAGCUCCAAUUAAAAGGUAAAUGUCACCUACGAAGUGUAACACUCAAUUCUUUAGCACCCACUGACUGAACCAUUGCCUAUCAGAGAGCAGGACCCUGAGAGAUGGG